rnacentral:rRNA from 1 species
AACUAACAAGGAUUCCCCUAGUAACUGCGAGUGAAGCGGGAAAAGCUCAAAUUUAAAAUCUGGCAGUCUUUGGCUGUCCCGAGUUGUAAUCUAGAGAAGUAUUAUCCGCGCUGGACCGUGUACAAGUCUCCUGGAAUGGAGCGUCAUAGAGGGUGAGAAUCCCGUCUUUGACACGGACUGCCAGGGCUUUGUGAUGUGCUCUCAAAGAGUCGAGUUGUUUGGGAAUGCAGCUCAAAAUGGGUGGUAAAUUCCAUCUAAAGCUAAAUAUUGGCGAGAGACCGAUAGCGAACAAGUACCGUGAGGGAAAGAUGAAAAGAACUUUGGAAAGAGAGUUAAACAGUACGUGAAAUUGCUGAAAGGGAAACGCUUGAAGUCAGUCAUGUUGGCCAGGGAUCAACCUUGCUUUAUUUUUUGCUUGGCUUACUUUCUGGUCAAUGGGUCAGCAUCAAUUUUGACUGGUGGAGAAAGUUCAAGGGAAUGUGGCAUCUUCGGAUGUGUUAUAGCCUUUGUUCGCAUACAUUGGUUGGGAUUGAGGAACUCAGCACGCCGCAAGGCCGGGUUUUUAACCACGUACGUGCUUAGGAUGCUGGCAUAAUGGCUUUAAUCGACCCGUCUUGAAACACGGACCAAGGAGUCUAACAUGCCUGCGAGUGUUUGGGUGAAAAACCCGAGUGCGUAAUGAAAGUGAAAGUUGAGAUCCCUGUCGUAGGGAGCAUUGACGCCCGGAUCUGACCUUUUGUGACGAUUCUGCGGUAGAGCAUGCAUGUUGGGACCCGAAAGAUGGUGAACUAUGCCUGAAUAGGGUGAAGCCAGAGGAAACUCUGGUGGAGGCUCGUAGCGAUUCUGACGUGCAAAUCGAUCGUCAAAUUUGGGUAUAGGGGCGAAAGACUAAUCGAACCAUCU